rnacentral:rRNA from 1 species
GACAGAGGGUGCGAACGUUGUUCGGAAUUACUGGGCGUAAAGCGCGUGUAGGCGGCAGCGCAAGUCGGGCGUGAAAUCCCACGGCUCAACCGUGGAAGUGCACUCGAAACUGCGCAGCUAGAGUCCUGGAGAGGAAGGUGGAAUGCUUGGUGUAGAGGUGAAAUUCGUAGAUAUCAAGCGGAACACCGGUGGCGAAGGCGGCGAUCUGGACGAUGACUGACGCUGAGACGCGAAAGCGUGGGGAGCAAACAGG